CAUGCAGUCGAGCGGUACACAGGAGAGCUUGCUCUCUGGGUGACGAGCGGCGGACGGGUGAGUAAUGUCUGGGAAACUGCCUGAUGGAGGGGGAUAACUACUGGAAACGGUAGCUAAUACCGCAUGACCUCGCAAGAGCAAAGUGGGGGACCUUCGGGCCUCACGCCAUCGGAUGUGCCCAGAUGGGAUUAGCUAGUAGGUGGGGUAAUGGCUCACCUAGGCGACGAUCCCUAGCUGGUCUGAGAGGAUGACCAGCCACACUGGAACUGAGACACGGUCCAGACUCCUACGGGAGGCAGCAGUGGGGAAUAUUGCACAAUGGGCGCAAGCCUGAUGCAGCCAUGCCGCGUGUGUGAAGAAGGCCUUAGGGUUGUAAAGCACUUUCAGCGAGGAGGAAGGGUUGAGUGUUAAUAGCACUGAACAUUGACGUUACUCGCAGAAGAAGCACCGGCUAACUCCGUGCCAGCAGCCGCGGUAAUACGGAGGGUGCAAGCGUUAAUCGGAAUUACUGGGCGUAAAGCGCACGCAGGCGGUUCGUUAAGUCAGAUGUGAAAUCCCCGAGCUUAACUUGGGAACUGCAUUUGAAACUGGCAAGCUAGAGUCUU
rnacentral:rRNA from 1 species